GGAGAUGUACUCAAGUGGUGACGAGGCUCCCCUGCUAAGGGAGUAGGUCGGGAAACCGGCGCGAGAGUUCAAAUCUCUCCAUCUCCGCCA
rnacentral:tRNA from 5 species